CCUAUGUCUCACAUCCCUUUGUCUCCUGUUUCCAGGCCCACCCCUCUUCCCUGUCUCAUUGACGGCCAACCAGCGUACACGGUGUGGCGCCUCCUGAAGAUUUGACCACGGGUCAGGGGAUUCCAGUACCUCGUUGACUGAGAGGGUUAUGGGCCGGAGGAGAGGUGCUCAGUCCCCGCUAGGGACAUCCUGGACCCAGGCCUCAUCGCUGAGUUCCAACGCUGGCACCCCAGUCAACCAGCAAAGGAGCAGUGGUAAAGAGCAGAAGCAGGGGUUUCCUAGACCUCAGCCGCACCACUGACAUGAGAACCAUCUCCAUCCUCAACAUCAUGCUCUGGACAGUGACCUCCAUGUUUUCUACAGUCUCUCCCUCAACACCAACAUGAACAGCCACUCCUACCUCAACUACUUUAACUCGGCACUAACAAGAUCCUGACCUACAUGAGUACCUGGGUUUGGAAUGGCCGUUCCCGGCGACCCACUAUCCUCUUGUACUUGCUGCUUUUC